rnacentral:rRNA from 1 species
CCUACGGGUGGCAGCAGUAGGGAAUAUUGCUCAAUGGGGGAAACCCUGAAGCAGCAACGCCGCGUGGAGGAUGAAGUUUUUCGGAUUGUAAACUCCUUUUUUUAGAGAAGCUAAUGACGGUAUCUACCGCAUCAUCCACGGCUAACUCCGUUCCAGCAGCCGCGGUACUACGGAGGGUGCAAGCGUUACUCGGAAUCACUGGGCGUAAAGGGCGCGUAGGCGGGAUAGCAAGUCAGAUGUGAAAUCCUAUGGCUUAACCAUAGAACUGCAUUUGAAACUGUUAUUCUAGAGUAUGGGAGAGGUAGGUGGAAUUCUUGGUGUAGGGGUAAAAUCCGUAGAGAUCAAGAGGAAUACUCAUUGCGAAGGCGACCUGCUAGAACAUAACUGACGCUGAUGCGCGAAAGCGUGGGGAGCAAACAGGAUUAGAUACCCGAGUAGUC